rnacentral:lncRNA from 1 species
CGUCACCAGCCCUCGGCCCGCCCACGUCACUGCGGAGACACACGGCUUCCCGCAGACGCCGCCGCCGUCUCCGGCCGCCCGGGGGAGAGCGAGGGCGGCGGGGAGGGGGAGGGGAAGGAAACAGAGCCAGCGGCGGUGCCGCGCGCGCGGGCUCGCCGGCGUCGCCGGGGCCGCCACUUCGCGGCUCCCAGAUCUCUCGGAAACGCGCGCGCCGUCUGGCCUAUUGUGGCUCCUCAGAGCGCCCCCGACCCCUGGCCAGGUCGUCCCGCGCGCGCGUCCCUCCCCCAGGCGCGCGCGCCCGGCGCUCCUGGCCCCGCGCGCCGUCUGGGCGGCUGGCGCGCGGCGCUGUCUGCGGUGCACCCAGCGCAGACAGGAUGUUCCCUCCCCACUCCACCCUCACCGCCGCCCUCCCUCCUUCCUUCCUCUAGUCGCCCAGCCGGCUGUCUGGGGCCUCCGCCCCGCCCCCGCCCCACCCGCCGCUCUGUGGUGAAGGGCCAGACCCUGGGGCGCCCUGGACGCUCGGCCGCCGCGCGGCGGGGAAGAGGGGGCAGGGCAGCCGCGCCGUGCACUGUGCGCGACCCCAGCAGCCCGCAGGGCGGAGGCAGUGCCCGCCCGGCAGAGCGCCGCCGCCCGAGGUCAGGCACGGGCGACCCUCCCCCCGCGGGGCCGCAGCUGGGCCGCCCCGCCCCGGAGGCAGCCGGGCGGCGACCGCCCUGCAGGGCCCCCGGGGCCGGCUCCACUCCCCGCCCCCGCGGGACCUCCCUCCUGGGCUGCCCCUCGCCCCCGCGGGGCCUCCGGCCCGAGGGCCGCCCAGCCAGCUGCCAGAGCUCCGCCCCGUCCCGGCGGCCCCAGCCUCGCCAGGGCGGCCUCCACCCAGACGCCUUCCCCUGGCUGACCUCCAUCCGCCAUCGGGUCGGGCGGGAGGGGUGGCCAAAGUUCCGGCACAACCGUGAGCAAACAUUUCUGUCUCUGCUCCCCAGGCUCCUGCCCCCAGCCCACCAGGCUGCUCUCUCGGUUCCAGAGGGGAGCUAUAAAUUACAGGUUUCUACAGUGUUUACUGAGGGUUUUUUUUUUUUUUUUUUUUUUUAA